rnacentral:rRNA from 1 species
UACGAAGGGGGCUAGCGUUGUUCGGAUUUACUGGGCGUAAAGCGCACGUAGGCGGAUCUUUAAGUCAGAGGUGAAAUCCCAAGGCUCAACCUUGGAACUGCCUUUGAUACUGGGGAUCUUGAGUCCGGGAGAGGUGAGUGGAACUGCGAGUGUAGAGGUGAAAUUCGUAGAUAUUCGCAAGAACACCAGUGGCGAAGGCGGCUCACUGGCCCGGUACUGACGCUGAGGCACGAAAGCGUGGGGAGCAAACGGG